rnacentral:rRNA from 1 species
GGUAAGCGCUGGCAGGGGGCCGGUGGAGGACGUAGGAGGCGGACGUGAGAGGGACUUAGUGGGGGUAAAGGGGAAGCAGGCGGUCUGGUAAGGUGGACGUAAAAUCGCCGGGCUGAACGGGGAGGGGGCGGUGGAGACUGGCAGACUUGGGGCGAUGAGAGGUGCAUGGAAUUCCCGGUGUAGUGGUGGAAUGCGUAGAGAUCGGGAGGAACACCAGAGGCGAAAGCGGUGCCCUGGCAUUGGCCUGACGCUGAGAUGCGAAAGCGUGGGGAGCGAACGGGAUUAGAUACCCCGGUAGUC